CAGCAGCCACGGAAUACGUAGGGUGCAAGCGUUAAUCGGAAUUACUGGGCGUAAAGCGUGCGCAGGCGGUUUGUUAAGACAGAUGUGAAAUCCCCGGGCUCAACCUGGGAACUGCAUUUGUGACUGGCAAGCUAGAGUGUGGCAGAGGGGGGUGGAAUUCCGCGUGUAGCAGUGAAAUGCGUAGAUAUGCGGAGGAACACCGAUGGCGAAGGCAGCCCCCUGGGCCAACACUGACGCUCAUGCACGAAAGCGUGGGGAGCAAACAGGAUUAGAUACCCGUGUAGUCCCUGUCUCUUAUACA
rnacentral:rRNA from 1 species